UGGAAUAUUCAUGGCAAAGUUCAGAGUGAACAUUUAUUGAAAACUUCUAUUAUGCACAGAACUGGGUGCCAUUUCAUGAAAAACUUCCUUUCUUCUAGAAGGACUUUAACUAUGCUAGAAUAGUCCUUCUAAUUCUUUACAUCACUUAUCAAGGCAAGGAGGUGGAAACACUUCUCCAAUUGGUAAAUUUUGAAGAAGCGUGACAAAAUUUCAUCUUGCCUUGAGUUGGAGCCAAGCAGAAAGGUGCACUCUUCUUGACCCUAUGCCAUGGAGUGCCUCCUGCAGUAGACACCUAUGGCAUUCUGUCAGUGCCUGGGUUGGAGUUUUUACAGUUUUGCAUCUAAAUCUGUGAUCCAUUGAGUCAUUUUUUUGAACCACUUGAAAAGCUGGAAUAGAAAGAGGAAGCUCUUUGCUGGGGGAAGAAAAAAAGGUCUGAGCUCAUUGAAUAAACUAACUUCUGGAGAAAAUCAACAACACUGAAAUGAAGAAUACAAGCCAGGAGGUAGGGGUUAGGAAGUGCAAAGAGAAGAGAAAAAAUGGGGAGUAUAUUGAGGU